AAACUGGGUGCUUUUUACACAGGAAGUUCAAACAUUUGCCCAUGAUUUCAGUCAAAAACCACUGGCCAGCGUGUUGAAUACGAAAACAGUUAUAAGUACCUUGGUUAUGGUACUGCAGUGUGCAGAUGGGAUAAAAGCGAGAACAUGUUCCCUACAUUAGGAGGUCGCUCAUCGCUCCUCGGACCUCAGACCCUGCACAUCAAAGGAAUAGAACAAAAUGCGGACCUGUAGUCCAUUAUAUAAGUCUUAAAGUAAAUUAGCAGAAAAGUGUGCAUUUUAAUUGCAAUUGUCUAAGCAACGUGACGCGUUGUUCUAAAGAAUCGGCAAUAGCAAUUAAAGCGACUGAUUUGCGCCUUCUAAAUGAUAAUGUUAUUUUAAGUAAUGUAAUGAAGAAACACGGAAAAUAUAACAAGUGACCGAGAAAA